AUGAAAAGCAAAGAACCAAAAUAAUGUAAGUUUAACGCGAAACCUAACUCAAGCAGUUGUUGGCUUGUACCACUUCCAUCUUUCUUUUCUUUUCAUUUUUUCCCUAAAUUUCCACCACUUUCAUCUUCCUUCUCACUCUCCUCGUUUCGCACACCUCACAGAUCAUCUUUUCCAUCUCAGUCGCUAUCUUCUCUUCACCAACCUCAGAUUGUCCUCUCUCUCUCCUCUCCCAUUUAACCACAGAUCCAGACUUAUGCCGCCCCGCUUCUUGAUUUGAACUUUCCGCUCUUCCUCUCUGGCACUGGAAUGGGUUGCUUUACGCCGUGCUCUUCAUUCUCAAGCAGCUAUGGGUGUCAGAGUUCCCCGUUAUUAAGCGUCCACCAGUCUUCAGCUUCAAGAUUGCUCUCCCCUUGACGUGAACACAACCUCUGAAGCUAUCAAGUGCGCUUUAUGUUCUGUAAAUGAUAAUACUGUUGUUUCUGCUAGACUGGUCGGGUGGGCUUGUGUCAGUAUCGAGGUUCUUGGGUUAGCAGGUCAUUUCUUAUGCUGGUUGUUUGAUUAUCUCUAGGGAAGUGACUCACCAUAUACAUCAGGUUUGCUUGGUGAUAUAACCAUUUAGAUUGAAUGUAUAUCCCUGUUACGUUUUAAUUAACUUAUUUAUAUGCAACAUUUAGAUUGCAGAAGACUUAAAGCU